rnacentral:rRNA from 1 species
ACGCGUAGGAAUCUGCCCAUCUGUGGGGGAUACCAGUUGGAAACGACUGUUAAUACCGCAUAAUAUCUGCGGAUUAAAGGUGGCCUUUGUGCUGCCGCAGAUGGAUGAGCCUGCGUUGGAUUAGCUAGUUGGUGGGGUAAGGGCCUACCAAGGCUACGAUCCAUAGCUGAUUUGAGAGGAUGAUCAGCCACAUUGGGACUGAGACACGGCCCAAACUCCUACGGGAGGCAGCAGUGGGGAAUAUUGGACAAUGGGGGAAACCCUGAUCCAGCAAUGCCAUGUGUGUGAAGAAGGCUCUAGGGUUGUAAAGCACUUUAGUUGGGGAGGAAAGCCUAUAAGUUAAUAGCUUGUAGGAAGGACGUUACCCAAAGAAUAAGGACCGGCUAACUCCGUGCCAGCAGCCGCGGUAAUACGGGGGGUCCGAGCGUUAAUCGGAAUUACUGGGCGUAAAGGGUCUGUAGGUGGUUUAUUAAGUCAGAUGUGAAAGCCCAGGGCUCAACCUUGGAACUGCAUUUGAUACUGGCAAACUAGAGUAUGGUAGAGGAAUGGGGAAUUUCUGGUGUAGCGGUGAAAUGCGUAGAGAUCAGAAGGAACACCAAUGGCGAAGGCAACAUUCUGGAUCAAUACUGACACUGAGGGACGAAAGCGUGGGGAUCAAACAGGAUUAGAUACCCUGGUAGUCCACGCUGUAAACGAUGAGUACUAGCUGUUGGAUUCGGUGUAAAGGAUCUAGUGGCGCAGCUAACGCGUUAAGUACUCCGCCUGGGGACUACGGCCGCAAGGCUAAAACUCAAAGGAAUUGACGGGGACCCGCACAAGCGGUGGAGCAUGUGGUUUAAUUCGAUGCAACGCGAAGAACCUUACCUGGUCUUGACAUCCUGCGAACUUUCUAGAGAUAGAUUGGUGCCUUCGGGAACGCAGUGACAGGUGCUGCACGGCUGUCGUCAGCUCGUGUUGUGAAAUGUUGGGUUAAGUCCCGCAACGAGCGCAACCCCUAUUGAUAGUUACCAUCAUUAAGUUGGGUACUCUAUUGAGACUGCCGCUGACAAGGCGGAGGAAGGUGGGGACGACGUCAAGUCAUCAUGGCCCUUACGACCAGGGCUACACACGUGCUACAAUGGGUAUUACAGAGGGCUGCGAAGGUGCGAGCUGGAGCGAAACUCAGAAAGGUACUCUUAGUCCGGAUUGCAGUCUGCAACUCGACUGCAUGAAGUCGGAAUCGCUAGUAAUCGCAGGUCAGAAUACUGCGGUGAAUACGUUCCCGGGUCUUGUACACACCGCCCGUCACACCAUGGGAGUGGGUUGCUCCAGAAGUAGAUAGUUUAACGAAUGGGCGUUUACCACGGAGUGAUUCAUGACUGGGGUGAAGUCGUAACAAGGUAGCCGUAGGGGAACCUGCGGCUGGAUCACCUCCUUA